UAUUGCACAAUGGGGGAAACCCUGAUGCAGCGACUCCGCGUGAGCGAAGAAGUAUUUCGGUAUGUAAAGCUCUAUCAGCAGGGAAGAAGAUGACGGUACCUGACUAAGAAGCUCCGGCUCAAUACGUGCCAGCAGCCGCGGUAAUACGUAUGGAGCAAGCGGUAUCCGGAUUUACUGGGUGUAAAGGGAGCCUAGGCGGCCUGGCAAGUCUGGUGGGAAAUACCAGGGCCCAACCCCGGGACUGCAUUGGAAACUGACAGGCUGGAGUGUCGGAGGGGCAGGCGGAAUUCCUAGUGUAGCGGUGAAAUGCGUAGAUAUUAGGAGGAACACCGGUGGCGAAGGCGGCCUGCUGGACGACAACUGACGCUGAGGCUCGAAAGCGUGGGGAGCAAACAGG
rnacentral:rRNA from 1 species